AGAGUUUGAUCCUGGCUCAGGAUGAACUCUGGCGGCGUGCUUAACACAUGCAAGUCGAACGAAGAUGCCGGAGUGCUUGCACUUUGGCAGACUGAGUGGCGGACGGGUGAGUAACGCGUGGGUAACCUGCCUUAUACAGGGGGAUAACAGUUGGAAACGACUGCUAAUACCGCAUAAGCGCACGGUAUCGCAUGAUACAGUGUGAAAAACUCCGGUGGUAUAAGAUGGACCCGCGUCUGAUUAGCUUGUUGGUGAGGUAACGGCCCACCAAGGCGACGAUCAGUAGCCGGCCUGAGAGGGUGAACGGCCACAUUGGGACUGAGACACGGCCCAAACUCCUACGGGAGGCAGCAGUGGGGAAUAUUGCACAAUGGGGGAAACCCUGAUGCAGCGACGCCGCGUGAGUGAUGAAGUAUUUCGGUAUGUAAAACUCUAUCAGCAGGGAAGAUAAUGACGGUACCUGACUAAGAAGCACCGGCUAAAUACGUGCCAGCAGCCGCGGUAAUACGUAUGGUGCAAGCGUUAUCCGGAUUUACUGGGUGUAAAGGGUGCGUAGGUGGUAUGGCAAGUCAGAAGUGAAAGGCUGGGGCUCAACCCCGGGACUGCUUUUGAAACUGUCAAACUAGAGUACAGGAGAGGAAAGCGGAAUUCCUAGUGUAGCGGUGAAAUGCGUAGAUAUUAGGAGGAACACCAGUGGCGAAGGCGGCUUUCUGGACUGAAACUGACACUGAGGCACGAAAGCGUGGGGAGCAAACAGGAUUAGAUACCCUGGUAGUCCACGCCGUAAACGAU
rnacentral:rRNA from 1 species